UAUGACACUGUUGCGAAUUGGG
rnacentral:miRNA from 1 species